UUAUUGGAGAGUUUGAUCCUGGCUCAGGACGAACGCUGGCGGCGUGCCUAAUACAUGCAAGUCGAGCGGACCUGAUGGAGUGCUUGCACUCCUGAUGGUUAGCGGCGGACGGGUGAGUAACACGUAG
rnacentral:rRNA from 1 species